UACGUAGGCAGCGAGCGUUGUUCGGAAUUACUGGGCGUAAAGAGUGUGUAGGCGGUGCUCUAAGUUCGGUGUGAAAUCUCCUGGCUCAACUGGGAGGGUGCGCCGGAAACUGGAGUGCUUGAGCGUGGGAGAGGAAAGCGGAAUUCCUGGUGUAGCGGUGAAAUGCGUAGAGAUCAGGAGGAACACCGGUGGCGAAGGCGGCCAACUGGGCCGUCACUGACGCUGAGGCGCGAAAGCUCGGGGAGCGAACGGG
rnacentral:rRNA from 1 species